rfam:Myotis brandtii contig249934, whole genome shotgun sequence.
GGCAGUUCUCGGGUGAUGCACCCCAGAAUUCGGGUCCCUCCUCUCUGGUUCCACAUGUAUCACCUGAGAACCGCA